UACGUAGGGGGCUAGCGUUGUCCGGAAUCAUUGGGCGUAAAGCGCGUGUAGGCGGCCCGAUAAGUCCGCUGUGAAAGUCCAGGGCUCAACCCUGGGAUGCCGGUGGAUACUGUCGGGCUCGAGUCCGGAAGAGGCGAGUGGAAUUCCUGGUGUAGCGGUGAAAUGCGCAGAUAUCAGGAGGAACACCAAUAGCGAAGGCAGCUCGCUGGGACGGUACUGACGCUAAGGCGCGAAAGCGUGGGGAGCGAACAGG
rnacentral:rRNA from 1 species